CUUCGGAUUGUAAAGCCCUGUUUUCUAGGACGAUAAUGACGGUACUAGAGGAGGAAGCCACGGCUAACUACGUGCCAGCAGCCGCGGUAAUACGUAGGUGGCGAGCGUUGUCCGGAUUUACUGGGCGUAAAGGGUGCGUAGGCGGAUGUUUAAGUGGGAUGUGAAAUCCCCGGGCUUAACCUGGGGGCUGCAUUCCAAACUGGAUAUCUAGAGUGCAGGAGAGGAAAGCGGAAUUCCUAGUGUAGCGGUGAAAUGCGUAGAGAUUAGGAAGAACACCAGUGGCGAAGGCGGCUUUCUGGACUGUAACUGACGCUGAGGCACGAAAGCGUGGGUAGCAAACAGGAUUAGAUACCCUGGUAGUCCACGCCGUAAACGAUGGAUACUAGGUGUAGGGGGUAUCAACUCCCCCUGUGCCGCAGUUAACACAAUAAGUAUCCCGCCUGGGGAGUACGGUCGCAAGAUUAAAACUCAAAGGAAUUGACGGGGGCCCGCACAAGCAGCGGAGCAUGUGGUUUAAUUCGAAGCAACGCGAAGAACCUUACCUGGACUUGACAUCCCUUGCAUAGCCUAGAGAUAGGUGAAGC
rnacentral:rRNA from 1 species